AACAUAGCACAUGCUGGUCAGCUGCUCCAUAAACUAAAAACAUAUCACCAUUUCACUCUGGCUAACCACAGGGCUUUCAAGGUUUAUAGAUCUUCCUGGAUGAUCCUCACCCACAUAAAAUUAACUGAAUUUCAAGUGCAAGAGAUCAGCCAUUACUUCCAUCUGUUCUGUAAAUUAUGAAACCAAAACCUGCUUGGAUUAUUGUUGCAAUGUUUUAAUUUCUUCAGGCAAUCAUACUUUUUUGAUCAUUUGUUUAGCACCCGAGAAUCCAUUUGCCUGGAUGAGUGCAGCUCUGACAACACACAGGAAACGCCAGGACAAAGCAGCCCAUUUGAAUGGCACCCCAUCCAGUAUCGUCAACAUUCACGUCUUCCACCACCAGCACAAAAGUCAGAAAGAAUCCAAGAAUUGCCUGAGAAGCAGCAACCCAUUGCCUCUUUAUCUCUUUCUUCGAAAAUCUCUUUGAUGGCCAACUGAAAGUCAGCUCUACCACCUGGGUAAAGUUUCUGAAGAAGAUUUUCUUGGAAUUUACCCACUAUCAGAAGCAAAGUCAAUUCAACCAAAUUCAAAAUACUCCAGCAUCUGCAGCUUGGGCAUAACUUCAGAAUCAGGUCUGCAAUUUCCCUUUAACACUAAUGGUCUCUUAUUAGGCCUGUAGUUUGGAGGCAGAAAAUGACAUUGGAAUCUUAGUUGAAACGGUGCAUGAUCUUAAAUUCCUGAAAACAGCAGAGUAUCACAACUGAACGUGAACAGAACCAGCAUGUACAAAGCAGAAAUGAAACCUGCUAAAUAUGGAUCAGCAGUGCCAGCCAGCAAUUGAAGUGGAAAAAAAGACUUCUGAAAAUCGCUUCAGCUGCCAUCUUGAACAAGCUGAGAAAUAUAAUAUUGGAGUAACACUUUAAAACAAUAAAAUCCAUGAGCGAAUAUUUUUACCUACAAAAUUGCUUGUUUGUGUUGAAACACCUUUAAAUCUUUUAUUUCUGUAAGAAACCUGUGCUUAUGUGAAAAGACUGAGCCUUGGGUGCAUGCAGAAUCCUGAAUUCUUCAGCUGAACUAAUUCAUGUUAACACAGCUCUUAGCGAACAUCAGAGUGCACAACAUUUUUGACAGGAAGACUUGGCAAACUCACUGGCUAUUCAUAGAAUGUGCAAAGACUUAAUGUUUGUAAGCCCUGUACCCUCCAGUGGAAAAUUACUGAUAAUAAAAACCCAUGAAAACU